GAUGAACGCUGGCGGCGUGCCUAAUACAUGUAGGUCGAGCGAACGGACGAGAAGCUUGCUUUUCUGAUGUUAGCGGCGGACGGGUGAGUAACACGUGGAUAACCUACCUAUAAGACUGGGAUAACUUCGGGAAACCGGAGCUAAUACCGGAUAAUAUUUUGAACCGCAUGGUUCAAAAGUGAAAGACGGUCUUGCUGUCACUUAUAGAUGGAUCCGCGCUGCAUUAGCUAGUUGGUAAGGUAACGGCUUACCAAGGCAACGAUGCAUAGCCGACCUGAGAAGGUGAUCGGCCACACUGGAACUGAGACACGGUCCAGACUCCUACGGGAGGCAGCAGUAGGGAAUCUUCCGCAAUGGGCGAAAGCCUGACGGAGCAACGCCGCGUGAGUGAUGAAGGUCUUCGGAUCGUAAAACUCUGUUAUUAGGGAAGAACAUAUGUGUAAGUAACUGUGCACAUCUUGACGGUACCUAAUCAGAAAGCCACGGCUAACUACGUG
rnacentral:rRNA from 1 species